GAGAAAACCCAGUUUACUUACCGAACACUAGCACAUUCACGGAGAAAUUAGUACAAGAAGCGCACUUGCGCACUCUCCACGGGGGAGUCGGGUUAACAAUGGCACAGAUUCGAAAGAGGUAUUGGAUACCCAAGUUGAGAAGUUUGGCUAAACGACAAGUCAAAACUUGUUGUGGCUGUCGCAGAUUUCAAGCAACUGCUGUGGUCAAACCGCCACCUGGAAUGUUACUAAAAGAACUCUACGAAGGGAAAGAUGGUCUCGUAAGAGCAGUAAAGCUACGUGCGGGGAAAAGGUUCAUGGAACGACCAGUGCAACAUCUUUAUCCAUUAGAGUUAAGUUGUGACAUUGGAAACAGACAGACAACCAAGACGACCACCGAGUUGAAUGCAGAAGCCACCGAGUUCAGGCCGAAAAGAGACGCAGCGUUUGCAGCGAGGCUUCGCAACAAGAUGAUAGUUGAUGAUUGAAACGUUAAAGGAACAUUUAAUCGUAUACAGUUGAGUUGACAUUCAAAGUUAAAGAAACAAUAGUCACAUAGAAUCAGUCUACUGUUAGACAUAUAUCUCCUAAAGAGAUAUAUGGGGGGAGUGUGUCGUAGACUGACGUCACGCGAUAAUAAUAACUUUAGUUAAGAACUGUCAAUCAAACAAAAUAACAAAGCGAAACAGUGAGCGAGACGAGACAUGGCGAGACGCGUAUACUUUUUUAAGAUAAUAGAUUCUACUUGAGAUUUUGUAAAACAUUAUUAUUGAGAAAACGAACAGUGAAGGGACGAGAGACGAGAAGUUUAUACGAACGGUUAAACCAUAAAUAAGUAUUCAUAUUGGCG